AGCCACCCCCCGCCUCUGCAGGAGACCCUUUAACACUAGCAGCUGGCCCAACGUGACAUCUUCAGGGCCGGGGGACCCAGGCACACGCCUCCAGCAGCAUUGCGGUGGGGAGAUGGGUGGGCUUUAUCUGCCCCGGGGCCAGCAUCGCACCCAAUGCCAUCACAGGACCUGUAACUUGCUGUAAACAACAUCCCUGGCCAAAAAAAAAAAAAAACCAACCCAGAAAACAAAACCAAAAACACCCCAUCUGGGCUGGAAACACCAGUAUAUUUCAUCAGAUGCCUGAUCUGGGAAGAGAGAGGGGAGUGAGAGGAAGAAGCUGCAAGGUCAGGAGAAGCCAUCUUUGCAUCCUGAGAUUCCUCUCCAUCAUCGUCACGGGGACCAGCUCAUAUCCCCGCCUCGCAGUCACAGGGCAUAAUCCAGUUACCCCGUUCCCCCACACGUUCUCUGUCUUUGGGAAGAAGGACCCUGAACCCCAAAGCUUAGUGUUCCCAAAAGAAAAAAAAAGGAGGACAAGUACAACCCACAGAUCUUUGA